rnacentral:rRNA from 1 species
UGGGGAAUUUUGGACAAUGGGCGCAAGCCUGAUCCAGCCAUGCCGCGUGCGGGAAGAAGGCCUUCGGGUUGUAAACCGCUUUUGUCAGGGAAGAAAUCUUCUGAGUUAAUACCUCGGGAGGAUGACGGUACCUGAAGAAUAAGCACCGGCUAACUACGUGCCAGCAGCCGCGGUAAUACGUAGGGUGCAAGCGUUAAUCGGAAUCACUGGGCGUAAAGCGUGCGCAGGCGGUUUUGUAAGACAGAGGUGAAAUCCCCGGGCUCAACCUGGGAACUGCCUUUGUGACUGCAAGGCUUGAGUGCGGCAGAGGGGGAUGGAAUUCCGCGUGUAGCAGUGAAAUGCGUAGAUAUGCGGAGGAACACCGAUGGCGAAGGCAAUCCCCUGGGCCUGCACUGACGCUCAUGCACGAAAGCGUGGGGAGCAAACAGGAUUAGAUACCCUGGUAGUCCACGCCCUAAAACGAUGUCAACUGGUUGUUGGGAAGGUUCCUUCUCAGUAACGUAGCUAACGCGUG